rnacentral:rRNA from 1 species
AGUGAACGCUGGCGGUAGGCCUAACACAUGCAAGUCGAACGGCAGCACAGUAAGAGCUUGCUCUUACGGGUGGCGAGUGGCGGACGGGUGAGGAAUACAUCGGCAUCUACUUUUUCGUGGGGGAUAACGUAGGGAAACUUACGCUAAUACCGCAUACGACCUACGGGUGAAAGCAGGGGAUCUUCGGACCUUGCGCGAUUGACUGAGCCGAUGUCGGAUUAGCUAGUUGGCGGGGUAAAGGCCCACCAAGGCGACGAUCCGUAGCUGGUCUGAGAGGAUGAUCAGCCACACUGGAACUGAGACACGGUCCAGACUCCUACGGGAGGCAGCAGUGGGGAAUAUUGGACAAUGGGCGCAAGCCUGAUCCAGCCAUACCGCGUGGGUGAAGAAGGCCUUCGGGUUGUAAAGCCCUUUUGUUGGGAAAGAAAAGCAGCAGGUUAAUACCCCGCUGUUCUGACGGUACCCAAAGAAUAAGCACCGGCUAACUUCGUG